AUGCGUACAGAGUGCACACACAUCCAGAUCCAUGUGGUGUACAUGCAUAGAGUGUACACACAUCCAAAUAUAGUGUACAAACAAGUUCACUACGAGUGUAAAAGCAUAGAGCAUACACACAUCCAUAUAGCAAAUGUACAUAAGCUAACACGUAUGCGCAUGCAUAGCACGUACACCCAUCUAUAUGCAGUGUACACAGGUAUACUAUACCUGUAUGUACAUGCAUAUGGCAUACACAUGCACAUCCGUGCGUACAUAGGUAAGAUCGGAUGGAGAGCAGAACUACCUGAGACCCUUUUGAGGGACAGGCAUGUAGGAACUGCUGCAGUUUGAGGGAUAUAGCCUUCUAAUCUGCAGAACCUUAUAGUAAUCAGCUACCAACUUACCUGGGGAUAAAAGAAUUGAAAAAAGAAGGAGAAUAAGAAGAAGCAAAUGGAGUCUCAUGGCUGAAGGGCCAGCAUCAAUGUGGGUUGAGCCUGGAGUCUCUGGACAUGGUAGGUCUGAGCCUUUUUAUGAUGCUGUCUGAGUCUGUGAUUUGUUCUUGGUUGGUAGAGCCUAACGAAAAGAGAAUAACUAAAUCUUCCACAAGAAACUUCCGGGGACACACAAGUACCUAAAUGUGGUGAUAUCUCAAUGGAUGAG
rnacentral:lncRNA from 1 species